ensembl:lncRNA
AGCACUUUGCAAACUGGUGGGAAACAACCCCAAGGAAUGGGACAUGCAUCUCGAUGCGGUAAUGUUUGGCCUAAGGACAAAAAAACAAAUGACCACUAAUUUCUCGCCAUUCUAUAUGAUGUUUGGAAGAGAGGCGCGAUAUCCAUCCCAGAUCCCAGAGCAGUACCAGAUUGACAGCAGUGUCGAGGACGCUGUGGCCAAAGACAACCUGACCGACUCUGCCCUCAAUAUCAGCAAAAUUCUCUCGUGUGCUGAGGGGAACACCAAGAAAGCACAAGAGAAGAUGAAGAGGAUGUCCCAAAAAUCAUCGAUGCAGAAAUUCAAUGUUGGUGACAUGGUCUGGAGGUUGAACAUUAGGAGCCGGCAAAGGAAAGGAGGCAAGCUGGACCCCAAUUUCCUGGGGCCAUACACUGUGUUGUCAGUUGAGAACAAAAGUGCUGACUUGGUGGACGUGAAUGGUGUUGUCUUUCCAAAGAUCAAUAUUGACCACCUGAAGCAUCACCAUGCACAGAGUCCUCACAUCCCCCAAAAUUUGAAGGUGUAGAAGAAGCUUGGCAGGGAACAGAUGUCUAUGUGCUGCUCUCAAAAAUAGGGCCAUACCUAAUCUUCUUUGCCGACAUCGCAAGAACCGCUCCAGAUAUGGAGUUUGAGAGUGAGGUAAGACCUCACCUUGCUCAUAGUAAAGGACUAACUACUUUCACGUUGUUACAUAUGUUGUUAGAGCAUAUAUUUUUGACAUCACUACUCUGGUAUCACUUAUAGUACAGUUUAAUUUAUCAGGAUCAUUAGCAUUUUAGUACUCUGUUUUUCCAUUGUAAGUGUUACAUUUGACCUACCCAUGUGAUUAAACAGCAUUUUAUUCAUCUAACUGAUUAUCUUUCUUGUCUUUAUUUCUUUCUUUCAGGUCAUGAAUGCCUACAUGCAGCUACUGGUGCGAGACUUUAAUGCGAAGUCAACCGACAGGGCUAUGGCAAUAGACACAUUUGAGAUGUCCAACAUAUGGAAAAGGAAACAACCAAAAGUGAAGCUGGAUCCACACAUGUACAAGUACAUCCUUGGGAUCAUCAAUGAGAACCACCACUGGAAACUCACUGUCAUGAUCCCAUCACAAAAAAAGGCUCUCUUACUCGAUCCUCUUGGGGAAUCCAGUACCGACAUAAAUAGGUGCAAAGAUGUAACAAGAGCCUUCAUGAGACUUAGGGGGAUCAAUGUGUCCAGAUGGGGAUGCGACACAGUCCCACACCCUCGUCAGACUGACAGUACCUCCUGCGGGCCCUUUGUAUUGAAAUUUGCUGAAUGUAUCCUUAAAGGUGAAAACUGCAAAUUCAAUACAUCAAGAAAAGGUGUAGGGGAAAUGCGAAGGGCAAUCGCAACUGCUCUCCUUGAGAAUACUGAUGACCUGACUGAGGUAUGCCACCAAUGUGGACAGACAGACAAUCCAGAAACAGACGAGGACGUACAAUGGAUUUCCUGUGAACGGUGCCAACGCUGGUAUCAUCAGAGCUGUGCAAAACAUAUGAUGGAAUCGCCACACCUCUGUCUAGCCUGUAACACAGACAGGACAGCCAGGAGAGAGAGGGCACUGGCACGCUAGGUGGGAGUGGUGGGCGUGACAUACUGUACAUCAGUGUACCAGGUAGCUUUUGUUGAUUUUCUAUAUAUUGUACUUAUUUUGUAUUUAUUGUAGUUGGUUUGGCUUUUUGUUUUUUCUUUUUACAUAUGUUGUUCUAAGAAAUUGUUUAUAUUUGUUUUAAUUGUGUUAAUAAAUGUUUUGUUCUGAAUGUUUGAAUUGUGUUAAUAAAUGUUUUGUUCUCAAUGUCAGUGUAAAGUCUACUUCCAGCUAACCCUUGAUCACGCCACCAAUCCCUUGAAUGCAACUCACUCCUCAGAUCACAUCACAGCAAUUCUAGUCACCCGUGCAUGCACAUCACUCCCUCUAUUUAGUUCAGUUCAGUUCACCCUUUCCUUUGUGAGGUAUUGUUUGUUUUCACCACAACCGUACUGUGCCUUUUCAAAAUAUUACCUAUAUAUAAUGAAUUACCCGUGCAUCAACCUGUUUGCCUGACUAACGUAGUCUCCGACUCCUAGCCUGCUCCCCGCCUGGACUUCGCCUACCCAUCAAAUUUCCUGUGUAUGACCCCCUGCCAGUCCCUUGACCCAUCUCCAGCCUCCUCCUUGGGAAUUGUGUUAAUAAACUAUUAUGCUCUGCGUUUGAAACCCAUUCUUGGCAUCCUUCGUAUUCAUUACAGUCAGGUUAAGUUGUUUACAUGUUGCUUGGCAACGCGCUACGCCCUGACAACUGUUUGCAGAUUAUUUGUAUUUACUAAAUAAUAAAACCACAUAGUGCUUAAUAAAUUAAAACAAUAGACACGUAUUAAGCUGAGUUAUGUAUAGGGAACAGUUAGCUCAAGAGAAAUAAAGAUAAAAAGGUGAACAAGAGCCAGACAAAGUGACCAGUUGGCUAUAGCCAGCCAGGCCUACGUUAAAGAUAAACAAAUUAAAGUUACUGUAUUUCUGUAUUUUUCCCAUUUUUCCUCCUCUUCUUUUGUCCUCUUCCUUCCCUGGGCGCCAGAGUGUUUAGGUUUCUUUGACAUUGUGAUGUGCAAAUAGAUAGCUUUCUCCUCUCCGGUCAGAAUGGCGCUCUUUUAUUUUACAUGUUAUGUUGUCUAAUAUUUAUUUAUUGCCUAAGUAAUAUAAACAUUGAAGUUGAAGUUAGAUGAAUACAGUAUGCAAAAAAAUAAAAUAAAAAAGACUUAUUUUUGGCGCCCCCUACCGAUGGAUGGGCCCUUAGCAUUCGCCUAUACUGCCUAUGCCCAGGGCCGGCCCUGCCCACGCCCCCCCCCCC